CAUUUGGGCUAUUUAUGUAGCAAUUCAUCAGACUCAGCAAUCGAGUAAACGCAGUUAAAGAGUAAGGUUGUAGUGUUGGCAUGAAGAAUCGUAAUACGAAUUUAAUGACUAUCGUGCCUUACUGUCAAGAUGAAUAAUGGCCAACUCAGAUAUUCUUUGAGUAUGUUUCUCCUAAAGCUAACUUACCAAUGUUUAGUGCAGAUGCUGAUAACUUUUUAGUUUGUUUCAAAGUUGUGUAGUUCAGAUUCCGAAAUUUUGUGUACGAUUUAUAGAAGAUGCUAUGUAAGAUGAUGACAGCAUACUCUGUACAUGUGAGUUCAGCAUGGUUCGAUGAUGUAUGAUUUUUUUUAAAGAAAACUAUGACUACAAGGACCUACAACAAACCUAAGUCUGCACAAGGGUAAAUAAAUAUAUCACCAACUCUUACCUACUUGGACCUUAUAGAGCCUGAAGAUUUUCUUGGAGACAGGUCAAAAAGCAGAUCCAAAAGAAUUAAAGAAACAAAGGGAAAGGAGAGGUAUGCACUAAACAGGGAUGAGAUAUUAAAAGGAAGACACGAGGCAAGGGAUAAUAACAAAGCUACAUCUCCUUUCUAAAUUGAAAGCGCACUCCAUCUAAGACACCCGUGGCCAUAUCACCUGAUUUUCACACUGCGGAGAAGCCCACUGGGCAAUCUGCUUUCACUCAACUGCGAUACACACCAGCUGCGGAAGGUGAUGUUUUUAAGUUCAAUGGUUUGAGUUUAUGAAACAAAUGGUUGUCCAGUUGCUUCUGCUGUUUGCAACACAAGCAUAUAGAGCUAAAAUUAUCAACCACCGGAGAAAGCGAUUUUCUGAGACAACACGCUGAUAAACACCACUUAUCAAGCAUCACCAUCAGAAGAGACUAACUGGAAAAACCAAACUCUUAAAAAGGCUGCAAGCGAAGAGAACGUACCUCAAUAUGAGGUUGCUUGCUAUUAUGAAAGCGAGGUGCACUUGGUGUGUAUACAUCAUCCAGUGAAUCCAAGCUUGCUUCCCUUCACAUAUGCACAAGAAGAUUUCACAAAAAUCUAGCAAUCAAGGAACAUUUGACAAUCACAAUUAGACUAAGCAAGGAAGAUGUACCUGCACUGUAGCUAAACACUAGAACCCAACUGCAUACUGUACCUGUCCCAUAGUUGAUUGACUUGAUUCUGUCAGAGCUAAACCUGCAUGCAUUUUGAUAAUAGUUAGACGAAAAAAAUAUUAUUUACAUAGCAUUCAUUUGAGUUACAGAAGCUAUGCAAAUGCAUGUUGAUUGCCUCAACGAUCAGGAAAUUUUCCAGUACUGCAGCCCCAUGGAAUGCAUUGUUAUGUAUAUGUUAUUUUUCAUGCCAUGAAACUGUUGUUCAGAUAAACAACAAUGCAUCUUGUCAGAAAUGAGAAAAAAGAUUAGCUAGAGCAUCCUGAAUUACAUUUAAGAAUGUUCAGACCAAGCAAGACUAAUCAAAUAUGCCUUAUUGGUAUGGCAUUAUAUAGAGAUAUUAUGUAGUCACUGAAUAAACUACAAAUAAGUUCCAACUUAAGACUGCAAUUGUACCAGUGUAAAAGAGCAGUUUCCACAGACUAUAGAAUUGCAUGAGCAAUGGAUUACAUUACAACAUUUCUGAU